rnacentral:rRNA from 1 species
GACGAACGCUGGCGGUGUGCUUCACACAUGCAAGUCGAACGAGGUAGCAAUACCUAGUGGCGGACGGGUGAGUAACGCGUGGGAAUCUGCCUUUAGAGGGGGGAUAACGGGUCGAAAGACUCGCUAAUACCGCAUAUGACGAAAGUUGAAAGGAGUAAUCCGUCUAAAGAUGAGCCCGCGUCCGAUUAGCUAGUUGGUAGAGUAAAAGCCUACCAAGGCGACGAUCGGUAGCUGGUCUGAGAGGAUGAUCAGCCACAAUGGGACUGAGACACGGCCCAUACUCCUACGGGAGGCAGCAGUGGGAAUUUUACGCAAUGGGCGAAAGCCUGACGUAGCGACACCGCGUGAGCGAAGAAGCCCCUUGGGGUGUAAAGCUCUGUCAGCUGGAACGAAAAAAAUGACGGUACCAGCAGAGGAAGCAUCGGCUAACUAACGUGCCAGCAGCCGCGGUAAU